UACAGAGGGUGCGAGCGUUAAUCGGAAUUACUGGGCGUAAAGCGCGCGUAGGCGGCUUUGCAAGUCGGGUGUGAAAUCCCCAGGCUUAACCUGGGAAUUGCGCUUGAAACUAGCGGGCUUGAGUGUGGCAGAGGGGGGUGGAAUUCCACGUGUAGCAGUGAAAUGCGUAGAGAUGUGGAGGAACACCGAUGGCGAAGGCAGCCCCCUGG
rnacentral:rRNA from 1 species